GGCGUGCUUAACACAUGCAAGUCGAACGGUAAGGCCCUUUCGGGGGUACACGAGUGGCGAACGGGUGAGUAACACGUGGGUGACCUGCCCUGUACUUCGGGAUAAGCCUGGGAAACUGGGUCUAAUACCGGAUAUGACCUUCUCCUGCAUGGGGGUUGGUGGAAAGUUUUUGCGGUACAGGAUGGGCCCGCGGCCUAUCAGCUUGUUGGUGGGGUAAUGGCCUACCAAGGCGACGACGGGUAGCCGGCCUGAGAGGGCGACCGGCCACACUGGGACUGAGACACGGCCCAGACUCCUACGGGAGGCAGCAGUGGGGAAUAUUGCACAAUGGGCGAAAGCCUGAUGCAGCGACGCCGCGUGAGGGAUGACGGCCUUCGGGUUGUAAACCUCUUUCAGUAGGGACGAAGCGCAAGUGACGGUACCUACAGAAGAAGCACCGGCCAACUACGUGCCAGCAGCCGCGGUAAUACGUAGGGUGCGAGCGUUGUCCGGAUUUACUGGGCGUAAAGAGCUCGUAGGCGGUUUGUCACGUCGUCUGUGAAAACCCGAGGCUUAACCUCGGGCCUGCAGGCGAUACGGGCAGACUUGAGUACUGUAGGGGAGACUGGAAUUCCUGGUGUAGCGGUGGAAUGCGCAGAUAUCAGGAGGAACACCGGUGGCGAAGGCGGGUCUCUGGGCAGUAACUGACGCUGAGGAGCGAAAGCGUGGGUAGCGAACAGGAUUAGAUACCCUGGUAGUCCACGCCGUAAACGGUGGGUACUAGGUGUGGGUUUCCUUCCACGGGAUCCGUGCCGUAGCUAACGCAUUAAGUACCCCGCCUGGGGAGUACGGCCGCAAGGCUAAAACUCAAAGGGAAUUGACGGGGGCCCGCACAAGCGGCGGAGCAUGUGGAUUAAUUCGAUGCAACGCGAGGACCCUUACCUGGGUUUGACAUAUAGAGGAUCGCCGGAGAGAUUCGGUUUGCCUUGUGCCUUCUAUACAGGUGGUGCAUGGCUGUCGUCAGCUCGUGUCGUGAGAUGUUGGGUUAAGUCCCGCAACGAGCGCAACCCUUGUCUCAUGUUGCCAGCACGUAAUGGUGGGGACUCGUGAGAGACUGCCGGGGUCAACUCGGAGGAAGGUGGGGAUGACGUCAAGUCAUCAUGCCCCUUAUGUCCAGGGCUUCACACAUGCUACAAUGGCGCGUACAGAGGGCUGCGAUACCGUGAGGUGGAGCGAAUCCCUUAAAGCGCGUCUCAGUUCGGAUUGGGGUCUGCAACUCGACCCCAUGAAGUCGGAGUCGCUAGUAAUCGCAGAUCAGCAACGCUGCGGUGAAUACGUUCCCGGGCCUUGUACACACCGCCCGUCACGUCAUGAAAGUCGGUAACACCCGAAGCCGGUGGCCUAACCCCUUGUGGGAGGGAGCUGUCGAAGGUGGGAUGGC
rnacentral:rRNA from 1 species